GACGAACGCUGGCGGCGUGCCUAAUACAUGCAAGUCGAACGCUUCUUUCCUCCCGAGUGCUUGCACUCAAUUGGAAAGAGGAGUGGCGGACGGGUGAGUAACACGUGGGUAACCUACCCAUUAGAGGGGGAUAACACUUGGAAACAGGUGCUAAUACCGCAUAACAGUUUAUGCAGCAUGGCAUAAGAGUGAAAGGCGCUUUCGGGUGUCGUUGAUGGAUGGACCCGCGGUGCAUUAGCUAGUUGGUGAGGUAACGGCUCACCAAGGCCACGAUGCAUAGCCGACCUGAGAGGGUGAUCGGCCACACUGGAACUGAGACACGGCCCAGACUCCUACGGGAGGCAGCAGUAGGGAAUCUUCGGCAAUGGACGAAAGCCUGACCGAGCAACGCCGCGUGAGUGAUGAAGGUCUUCGGAUCGUAAAACUCUGUUGUUAGAGAAGAACAAGGGCGUUAGUAACUGAACGUCCCCUGACGGUAUCUAACCAGAAAGCCACGGCUAACUACGUG
rnacentral:rRNA from 1 species